UGGGUCGGAGAAGAUUGUCUCGACUUUUUCAACGUCGGAGCUGGUGGCAUCAAGGGUGUUGUUGGACUUGGCUACAUCGGCUAAAGCGGUGGCGUAGCUGGAAGCGGCGGAGGCUGACAUUUUGGCACCGCCAUGAAGAGGGCGAGUGGUGGAGAGUUUGAGGGAAGGGAAAGUGGCUGAAAAAGAGAGGUUGAGAGAGGGAAGGGAUCUGGGGUGUUGAGAAGAUGAAAGAAGCUUGGGUUGAAGAGAGAUUGAAGCUUGUUGAAGGGAAGCCAUUGAUGAAAAGCUUGAUGGGUGAUGAAAAUUUGUGUUGAGAACUGGAAAUGAAUGAGGAAACUGGAGAAAGAAAAAGUGUUUUGGAUUAGUGAAAAAGAAGGGAGGGAUGAGUUAUCUUGAAU
rnacentral:lncRNA from 1 species